AGUGAACGCUGGCGGUAGGCCUAACACAUGCAAGUCGAACGGCAGCACAGUAAGAGCUUGCUCUUACGGGUGGCGAGUGGCGGACGGGUGAGGAAUACAUCGGAAUCUACUUUUUCGUGGGGGAUAACGUAGGGAAACUUACGCUAAUACCGCAUACGACCUACGGGUGAAAACAGGGGAUCUUCGGACCUUGCGCGAUUGAAUGAGCCGAUGUCGGAUUAGCUAGUUGGCGGGGUAAAGGCCCACCAAGGCGACGAUCCGUAGCUGGUCUGAGAGGAUGAUCAGACACACUGGAACUGAGACACGGUCCAGACUCCUACGGGAGGCAGCAGUGGGGAAUAUUGGACAAUGGGCGCAAGCCUGAUCCAGCCAUACCGCGUGGGUGAAGAAGGCCUUCGGGUUGUAAAGCCCUUUUGUUGGGAAAGAAAAGCAGCAGGUUAAUACCCCGCUGUUCUGACGGUACCCAAAGAAUAAGCACCGGCUAACUUCGUG
rnacentral:rRNA from 1 species